CAGGAAGAAUCUUGAAGGAACUACACUUUAUCAUCAUAAUGGAACAUUAGAGGUCUUAAUAAGCCCUAUAAGUAGAGGGAGAUGAACACCUUUUUUGCUUAUGAAUUAAAUAAAAGUUACUGGUAUAUGUUAGAGACAGGGCUAAAGAAACCAAAAUCACAGAAAAUUCAUGAGACAACCCAAAUCAGAGCUUAGUCGUGUCGGAUUUCUCAAGUCUAACUGGGACUAGAGACUACCC
rnacentral:lncRNA from 1 species